rnacentral:rRNA from 1 species
UUCAAACAUUAAGCCAUGCAUGUCUAAGUAUAAGCAAAUUAUACCGUGAAACUGCGAAUGGCUCAUUAAAUCAGUUAUCGUUUAUUUGAUAGUACCUUACUACUUGGAUAACCGUGGUAAUUCUAGAGCUAAUACAUGCUGAAAACCCCGACUUCGGAAGGGGUGUAUUUAUUAGAUAAAAAACCAAUGCCCUUCGGGGCUCCUUGGUGAUUCAUAAUAACUUCUCAGAUCGCAUGGCCUUGCGCCGGCGACGGUUCAUUCAAAUUUCUGCCCUAUCAACUUUCGAUGGUAAGGUAUUGGCUUACCAUGGUUUCAACGGGUAACGGGGAAUUAGGGUUCGAUUCCGGAGAGGGAGCCUGAGAAACGGCUACCACAUCCAAGGAAGGCAGCAGGCGCGCAAAUUACCCAAUCCCGACACGGGGAGGUAGUGACAAUAAAUACUGAUACAGGGCUCUUUUGGGUCUUGUAAUUGGAAUGAGUACAAUUUAAACCUCUUAACGAGGAACAAUUGGAGGGCAAGUCUGGUGCCAGCAGCCGCGGUAAUUCCAGCUCCAAUAGCGUAUAUUAAAGUUGUUGCAGUUAAAAAGCUCGUAGUUGAACCUUUGGCCUGGCUGGCAGGUCCGCCUCACCGCGUGCACUUGUCCGGCCGGGCCUUCUUUUCUGGAGAACCGCAUGCCCUUCACUGGGUGUGUUGGGGACCAGGACUUUUACUUUGAAAAAAUUAGAGUGUUCAAAGCAGGCCUUUGCUCGAAUACGUUAGCAUGGAAUAAUAGAAUAGGACGUGCGGUCCUAUUUUGUUGGUUUCUAGGACCGCCGUAAUGAUUAAUAGGGACAGUCGGGGGCAUCAGUAUUCAAUUGUCAGAGGUGAAAUUCUUGGAUUUAUUGAAGACUAACUACUGCGAAAGCAUUUGCCAAGGAUGUUUUCAUUAAUCAGUGAACGAAAGUUAGGGGAUCGAAGACGAUCAGAUACCGUCGUAGUCUUAACCAUAAACUAUGCCGACUAGGGAUCGGGCGGUGUUAUUAUUUUGACUCGCUCGGCACCUUACGAGAAAUCAAAGUGUUUGGU